rnacentral:rRNA from 1 species
UGCAGUCGACGGAAAGGCCCUGCUUUUGUGGGGUGCUCGAGUGGCGAACGGGUGAGUAACACGUGAGUAACCUGCCCUUGACUUUGGGAUAACUUCAGGAAACUGGGGCUAAUACCGGAUAGGAGCUCCUGCUGCAUGGUGGGGGUUGGAAAGUUUCGGCGGUUGGGGAUGGACUCGCGGCUUAUCAGCUUGUUGGUGGGGUAGUGGCUUACCAAGGCUUUGACGGGUAGCCGGCCUGAGAGGGUGACCGGCCACAUUGGGACUGAGAUACGGCCCAGACUCCUACGGGAGGCAGCAGUGGGGAAUAUUGCACAAUGGGCGGAAGCCUGAUGCAGCAACGCCGCGUGCGGGAUGACGGCCUUCGGGUUGUAAACCGCUUUCGCCUGUGACGAAGCGUGAGUGACGGUAAUGGGUAAAGAAGCACCGGCUAACUACGUGCCAGCAGCCGCGGUGAUACGUAGGGUGCGAGCGUUGUCCGGAUUUAUUGGGCGUAAAGGGCUCGUAGGUGGUUGAUCGCGUCGGAAGUGUAAUCUUGGGGCUUAACCCUGAGCGUGCUUUCGAUACGGGUUGACUUGAGGAAGGUAGGGGAGAAUGGAAUUCCUGGUGGAGCGGUGGAAUGCGCAGAUAUCAGGAGGAACACCAGUGGCGAAGGCGGUUCUCUGGGCCUUUCCUGACGCUGAGGAGCGAAAGCGUGGGGAGCGAACAGGCUUAGAUACCCUGGUAGUCCACGCUGUAAACGGUGGGUACUAGGUGUGGGGUCCAUUCCACGGGUUCCGUGCCGUAGCUAACGCUUUAAGUACCCCGCCUGGGGAGUACGGCCGCAAGGCUAAAACUCAAAGGAAUUGACG